AACAUAUCUCAAUUGUUAAGGAUUUUAUAGGUUGGCGAAUUUCGUAAGGUUGUUUGGAGUCUUGAAGAGUUGAUCGCAGAAGUUUUUGAGAAUAGAUUCAAAUUGGAGGACGAAGACUCAUUCGGAAAGCUCGACACCUAAGGUAUGAAGAAAAGACUAUUUGUGGUGAAAACAUAUAAUUAGAAUAAGUUCAGAAGGCUUAGAGUGGUUUAAAAUAUUUUUUCUGAACUUUCAUGUGUUCUGGGACCGGUCUCUGAGAUUGAGAGACCGGUUCCA
rnacentral:lncRNA from 1 species